rnacentral:rRNA from 1 species
CGCGUAGGCGGCGUCGGAAGUCAGGCGUGAAAGCCCCGGGCUCAACCUGGGAACUGCGUUUGAUACUCCGAUGCUUGAGUUCGGGAGAGGAGAGUGGAAUUCCCAGUGUAGAGGUGAAAUUCGUAGAUAUUGGGAAGAACACCGGUGGCGAAGGCGGCUCUCUGGACCGAUACUGACGCUGAGGCGCGAAAGCGUGGGGAGCAAACAGGAUUAGAUACCCUGGUAGUCCACGCUGUAAACGAUGUGUGCUAGACGUUGGGAGACUUAGUCUUUCGGUGUCGCAGCAAACGCUUUAAGCACACCGCCUGGGGAGUACGGCCGCAAGGUUAAA